rnacentral:lncRNA from 1 species
UUUAUAAAGGAGUAGGUCCGGUAAGGACCGAUUUUGGCCUCAAAUUUCAGGUUCAUCUGACGAAAGAUUUUGACCACUUUUUAAACACUUAAGUGUCUAUUUCAUUUGAAUCAAUUAGUUUAUGUGAAAGAUUUUUACUGAUUUAGUCAUUAAAAACGAUCCGAUUCAAGCUCAAAUAUGAAAAAUCUACCAAAUAUGCCAAAAAAUGUCACCUUUCAGAUGGUUUUUGUCAAAAACGAAAGUGGCCGCAUCCGUGUUCAUCCUCAACCUUUAUAUAUAUUAUGUAUUAUCAUCAAAUACAACUUACAUUUCAAUAUUAAGGAUGAACACGAAUGCGGCCACUUUCGUUUUACCUGAAAACUGUCUAAAAUUUAACUAAAAUGCUAGAAUUGUGAAGAUUUCAGUAAAUUAGCAUGACUUUAUGGUGCUAGUACCCGAUAUAUGUGCAUUGUUAUGUCAAAAACAGCCCAUAUUUAUGUAGCAGAAGCAUUCUACUGUCCAAUAAAUAACUAAAAGUUUACAUUUUAACAACUUUGUAAAACUGCUAUAUUUUGGGGCCAAAAAGGGGUCUUACUGAACCUACUCCUUUGUUCUAUAACUGUAAAUUGAUAAUAAAACACCUUUUUCUUGUUUUGCUUUAAUUAUUUCUUUAUAAUAGAUUACAAUAAAUUAUCAAUACAAAUAAAAUCCAUUAUUUUUUACAAAUUCAUAACUACAACAAAAUCAUAACAACAUAAAUAAAGAAAUAUCACAUUGAAGAAACAUGAUAUAUGUUCACCAUCUGUCCUAGUUAUUGACCCUUGUAAUAUCGGUAAAUGAGAAGGUACUAUUAGGCCCCAUUUUGGCCCCCAUAUUCAGAGAUCACAAAAAUCUUUCAAAUAAGAUGUUUGUAAGACAUGUCGUUGUCAGAUAUAAGUAAUAAAAAAUGUUUGAAUUUUGUUUACAAAUAUCUUGUAGUUAAUAUAUUAAGAGCAGGUCUUACCAAAGUAGAUAUUUUAACACAUAAUUUCUAAAACAAAGAUUGUGAUAGGAAAAUAUGGUUUCAGAUUACAGCUUUUGAUCAUAUUCAAUUGUAUGAUACCAACCGCGUGAGGGCUGAUCAACCAGUCAAGGUCGUUAAAAACCACCAAUAAACAACAUAAGUAAAGUACAACUGUACUUACAAUUUUCUGUGAACUAUCAAGCUAUGCAUUAAAAUGACAGAUGACAAUAAAACUGUGUAACACAAGGCCAUUCAAAGAUAAAUCUUUAUAAUUUGUAGAAGUUCUCGUUCUUGUUUUUAGCAUGAGCAAAAUUUAAAUCUUUCUCAAUUCAACUUUAUUUUUAUUUUUUAAUCAUGAAAUUUUCAUUUGAAUACUAAGCAUGCUAAGAAUUUACACACAAAAAUUGUUUCUGCCAUUGUAUGACAUACAAAAUUAAAGAAUUCCCAUUGGCUAUCAAAAAGCAUUCUUUAAAGUCAGUAUAAAAUACUUUUUUUAAUCACCAACAAUAAACUAUUACCAUAAUUUGACUUUUAA